rnacentral:rRNA from 1 species
AGCAGCUCCACACCGCGUGCGGAAAGUGCCUGGGCGAAUUCGACGAUACCGGCUUUGUCAGAAACACUGAGCAGAGCGCGGCGGACUGGACGACGUUGUUGCAUGGUAAAUCCCCUGGAUUUGACUAUUACAGAGAGCGUUAGCUGAAUUUUUCGCGAAAAACUCAGCUAACGCCCCUAACGGGGCAUCCUUAUUUUUCGCCCGCAUUGUAACGAAAACGUUUGCGCAACGCUCGCGAAUUUUUUUAAUUCGAUGGCGAUCACGAUUUUGCCCCCGAUUAGCGUGGGAGAAAUAGAGAAAUAACGCUGAUGAUUGUGGAUAACUCUGUGCGUAAAAAGGUAUAAAGCGGGGUUUUGCUGGGGAAUGCAGCAGUCAGUCAUUUUUCUGCAAUUUUUCUAUUGCGGCCUGCGGAGAACUCCCUAUAAUGCGCCUCCAUCGACACGGCGGAUGUGAAUCACUUCACACAAACAGCCGGUUCGGUUGAAGAGAAAAAUUCUGAAAUUCAGGGUUGACUCUGAAAGAGGAAAGCGUAAUAUACGCCACCUCGCGACAGUGAGCUGAAAGCCGCGUCGCAACUGCUCUUUAACAAUUUAUCAGACAAUCUGUGUGGGCACUCGAAGAUACGGAUUCUUAACGUCGCAAGACGAAAAAUGAAUACCAAGUCU